AGUCCAUGCAUUGGGCAUUUAUGCCGUAAAUCCUUAAAGUGUUCCCAUGCCUCACACAAAUUUUCAUCUUCCAACUGCUUGAAGGAUGUUAAGUCACUCCUAAGCUU